AUUGAACGCUGGCGGCAGGCCUAACACAUGCAAGUCGGACGGUAGCACAGAGGAGCUUGCUCCUCGGGUGACGAGUGGCGGACGGGUGAGUAAUGUCUGGGGAUCUGCCCGAUAGAGGGGGAUAACCACUGGAAACGGUGGCUAAUACCGCAUAACGUCGCACGACCAAAGAGGGGGACCUUCGGGCCUCUCACUACGGGAUAAAACCAGAGGGGAUUAGCUAGUAGGCGGGGUAAUGGCCCACCUAGGCGACGAUCCCUAGCUGGUCUGAGAGGAUGACCAGCCACACUGGAACUGAGACACGGUCCAGACUCCUACGGGAGGCAGCAGUGGGGAAUAUUGCACAAUGGGCGCAAGCCUGAUGCAGCCAUGCCGCGUGUAUGAAGAAGGCCUUCGGGUUGUAAAGUACUUUCAGCGGGGAGGAAGGCGGUGAGGUUAAUAACCUCACCGAUUGACGUUACCCGCAGAAGAAGCACCGGCUAACUCCGUGCCAGCAGCCGCCGCUG
rnacentral:rRNA from 1 species